UUGACCUCGAAUCAGGUAGGAAUACCCGCUGAACUUAAGCAUAUCAAUAAGCGGAGGAAAAGAAACCAACCGGGAUUACCUCAGUAACGGCGAGUGAAGCGGUAACAGCUCAAAUUUGAAAUCUGGCUCUUGCGGAGUCCGAGUUGUAAUUUGUAGAAGAUGCUUUGGGUUGUGGGUUCGGCCUAAGUUCCUUGGAACAGGACGUCAUAGAGGGUGAGAAUCCCGUAUGUGGCCGAGGCCCGCGCCUAUGUAAAGCUCUUUCAACGAGUCGAGUUGUUUGGGAAUGCAGCUCAAAAUGGGUGGUAAAUUUCAUCUAAAGCUAAAUAUGGGCCAGAGACCGAUAGCGCACAAGUAGAGUGAUCGAAAGAUGAAAAGCACUUUGGAAAGAGAGUUAAACAGUACGUGAAAUUGUUGAAAGGGAAGCGCUUGCAACCAGACUUGGGCGCUGCCGAUCACCUUGAGUUUUCUCGAGUGCACUCGACAGCGCACAGGCCAGCAUCGGUUCGGGUGGCUGGAUAAAGGCCGUAGGAAUGUGGCUCUCUUCGGGGAGUGUUAUAGCCUACGGUGCCAUGCAGCCCAGCCGGACCGAGGACCGCGCCUUCGGGCUAGGAUGCUGGCGUAAUGGUUGUAAGCGACCCGUCUUGAAACACGGACCAAGGAGUCUAACAUCUAUGCGAGUGUUUGGGUGGUAAACCCAUACGCGGAAUGAAAGUGAACGUAGGUGAGAACCCCUUUGGGGCGCAUCAUCGAC
rnacentral:rRNA from 1 species